ACAGCUAGUGCGGAUGGUCUGCACCAACGAAUGUUUUGAAAGGCGCAUAGCGUAAGCGAAUGAGACUCUGACCAACAGACCCCCUGGAUCCAACACAAUCCAGAAUCCAGAGGAGGCCACCAGGUGUAGCGGCGAUUGAGAGGAGGAGAGACAAGGAGGCAGAGAUGCUGGAAAACCCUGCACCUGCAGCUCAGCCUGAUUCCACCACCAUCGUCAAACGCUAUCCUCCUCCCAAUCAAAGGCAAGCUUUCUUUUCUUUUACCUUUGCUUAUUGGUAUUUGUUACAUGAACCUAAGAUGAGGCAUAAGGUGAUGCUGUUUCAAUAAUUGCAGGAAUCGUUCUAUUAGCAGGCGCAAAUCAGGUCUGCUGCUUCUUUUUCAAAUUUGCUAUUUUCUUUUAAUAUCUUUACUGAGAUUGUCUAGGUUAGAGUUUUGCUAGGAAAUAUUGUUGAAAUGUUUUUAUGAUUUUGCUAAUUAGGGAACUUUGUCAAAGUAAUUCAGUAUAAAUGCAGCUCUUUCAUAGCUUAAUUCCAGACACGACACUUGUUUAUUGGUCAUCAUGUUUAUAGGGUCCUCCCCCCUUCUCUCUCUCUCUUUUUAACAUAAGGCUCAUACCAACUACAAAUUUUUUCCUUUAUGGUACUUUAUUCAGUUCAAUUGGAAGAUCUUGGUCAGCUUGAAUCUCUUUGUUUCCCAAUGCAUUCGGUGUUUUCACUUUUCUCUGUUUCUCAUCGUGACAAUGAUUAAGGAGGGACUGGAGCUCAAUAAUGAAUGAGUUUCUUAUUCUCAAUUGACUUGGAUGAGAUUUUACUCGUUAAUCAUCCCAUCUAGCAAUUUGUCUCAAAGUUGUUGGACGGCUGAAUCAAAUGAAAGAUCUUCCAACUAAAAGGAAACAUUAGCUCUUCUUAUAAAGACUAUAUCUCUAAAGACUUCUAGAACCAGUAGUACCCAAUUAGUGACAAUGGCACUGUUCUAAACAAUUUGGUUUUGAUUUUAACAAUAACAUCUAUUAUUUGAGUUCCUCAUUGAAGUGCUGCUUUUUAUCCAAGCACAAUGGAAGAAAGGACCUUACAAAUAAUUUGAGACCCACAAGAUAGGUUAAUAUGAUUUUAGAAGAACAAUGCUGAAUUUAUGUACUAAUGCUUUAGUUAGAAAGUAAUUAUUUUAUGUCUAAAAGUUAUGAGUGCAUUGGCAUUGCAUAACUGUUCAUAAGACUUAUGGUUAAAAACAUUUAUGCCACAAGCAAUUGCUCCCCUUGUCCCAAAUAUAGGCAUAUUUUCCAUUUUCAUUUGUCCCAAAUUGUUGGCUACUUCCCUUUUUCAGAUGGUAAUUUAUUUAUUAACAUCCUAAUAUAACAUGUUUAAUAUGCAUCAAAAAAGUAAAUUUUUUAGUUCUAAUAAUAAUUUAGUAAUGGAAGUGUUUUUUAAAAAAAAUGGUAAUGGAGCAAUACGAGUGGAGAGAAUAUUACAAAAAAGAUGAUAGAAAUUUGUUGCUUUAACUAUUAACUGCAUUUUCUUUAUCCAUGUGAAAGUAACUGUAGGCCUAUCUUUGUGAGAAGAAUUGAGAAGGAUUCUUUGGAGUGAUCGUGAAGAUUUGUGAAAAGUAUCCACAUAGCGGAAUAGCGACAAUGAUCUUUAUUGUUGACCCCAACUAGUUUAGGGUUAAGGCUUGAGUAUCUUAAUGAUGACUUGAUUAGUGGUGUGACUUGUCUUUUCUUUUUUAUCUGAAAGUGUGUGACUUGUCUUAGCACUUGGGUAGUGUACAAAUAAAUAUUUGGGAAAAAAAAAGUGUAUUUGACUUUUCUUGGUUGAGAACUUUGAGAUUACUGUUGUAGAUUUGGGUUUUACCCUACAUGGGAAUGUGAUAGAUUUUUGGAGGAACUCCUUUGUACAGUGGAAAAUCAUUAUUUUUCGAUAUGUCUUUGUGAUUUAACAAAGACAAUUGAACAAUUUGUAUGAAAAACAUUAUACUUUAAAAUUUUGGAUGCUCAUGUUAUUUUAUUUGCAAAUGUUUAUUAAGACAAAGAAAAUGAAAUGUCAAUUUGGUGGUCAUACUUGUCUUAUCAUACAUUUGGGUCAUGUUUCUUUGCUUCUCCCUUUCUUCUCCUACUUUGUUGUCAAAGAACUAGUUUGCUCUAUACUUGGUGGACCUAGAACAGAGCUUAUCUUCUGUUGAGAAGAGAAAUUUUUAGGGAGAGGAAGAAGGAUCUCCAUUUGAUUUCUCCAUGACAGUAGGUUUACAUUAGGGAUUGAAUUUGAGUCAUACAUGUUUCUUGUUUGCCUUAGUUAUGGAUGAGUGCUAGCCACUCGUAUGCAAGAUUUCUAUAAUCUAUGUUAUCUGCAGAUGAUAUUGUCUUAGUAAAUAAAUUGGUGAAUGUGAAGGAUGUUUCAUAUGAGUGCUAGCCACUCAUAUCCAAGAUGAUGUUCUAUAAUCUAUGUUAUUUGCAGAUGAUGUUAUCUUAGUAAAUAAACUAGUAAAGUAGUUAAUCAAAAGCCAGAAUGUGAAGGACAUUGGAGGAUUAAGGGUUUAGGCUAAGUAGAAAUAAUACAAAAUGUAUUUAUUAUGAAUUUAGCUCUCAUAAAAAAAGGUUCAAUUGGAUAUAGCUUUGGUGCAUAAUUGCAACCAAUUUAAAUAUUUAGGCUCUAUUAUCCAAAAGAACAGAGCAAUAGAUGAGGAUAUAAGUGUAAUACACAGGAUAAAAAUAGGAUGGAUGAAAUAAAGAAG
rnacentral:lncRNA from 1 species